AACGAACGCUGGCGGCAGGCCUAAUACAUGCAAGUCGAACGGGCGUAGCAAUACGUCAGUGGCGGACGGGUGAGUAACACGUGGGAACAUGCCUUUCGGUUCGGAAUAACGCAGGGAAACUUGCGCUAAUACCGGAUGACCCGGCGACGGAAAAGAUUUAUCGCCGAAAGAUUGGCCCGCGUAGGAUUAGCUAGUUGGUGAGGUAACGGCCCACCAAGGCGACGAUCCUUAGCUGGUUUGAGAGAACGAUCAGCCACACUGGGACUGAGACACGGCCCAGACUCCUACGGGAGGCAGCAGUAGGGAAUCUUGGACAAUGGGGGAAACCCUGAUCCAGCCACGCCGCGUGAGUGAUGAA
rnacentral:rRNA from 1 species